GGCUAGCCAAGGCGGACGGGUGAGUAACGCGUAAAGAACUUGCCCUGCAGACAGGGAUAACAGACGGAAACGACUGACAACACCUGAUACAGUUGCCGGCACGCAUGUGCCUGGCAAUGAAAAGAGAUGCUGCGGGAGAGCUUUGCGUCCUAUUAGCUUGUUGGCGGGGUAACGGCCCACCAAGGCGAUGAUAGGUAGCCGGCCUGAGAGGGUGAACGGCCACAAGGGGACUGAGAUACGGCCCUUACUCC
rnacentral:rRNA from 1 species